CCGUAGCCGAAGUAUAUGAUGCUCCUCCUUCUUCCAUCGAUCUCCACUUCGCUGGCUAAGAAAACCAGAACGUCAGCCGUUUCACUAUAUAUCUUCAUCUCCUUAUUUCCCAUGUUCUCCUUUAAUACCCCUUUGAGCUUCAUAAUUCCUCUGUCAGGACAGAGACAAGAAAACAAAACAGGGUUAUGCAGAUAAACGAAGGAAACAUCUUGAGUUUACUACAACCGCAAAUGAACAUUACUGGUCACAUCGAUCUCGGCAGAGUCCUGAGAGGCCGUCGACCCGAGGUCAUGGGGAAGACGAGGUGCGAGGAGUGGAAGCUUCGAAGAUUACCACGGCGGAUUCGUUCGGUGCUAUUGUUUUGGGUGGUACCUUUGAUCGAUUGCACGAUGGGCAUGAUCAGACUUCAAGGCGGUUGAGCUAGCCAUGGAUCGAAUAGUAGUGGGAGUAUGUGACAGCCCGAUGUUGAUGAACAAACAAGAGAAUGUGGGAGACAGUUUUUUUUACUUAGCCGUUGAUCUUGGUGCCAUGUGCUUAUGUAUUCUUUUCACUGUGUUUGCUUUUCACAAUCUUCUCAAUUGCAAUUGCUUUUGUUAGAGAGAGAUAUAGUUGCCUGAGUGCUCUGCCUAUAGUUCCCUUACUACAUUUUCUAAACGACUGAAAGGUGGAGUUUUCAUCAAGUAUGAAUGAGUUAAAUAGCUGCAUUUGGGUUUGCUAUGAUAGAUUUAGCCAAGUUCAUGCUAAUCCUACUGGCAACAUGGAAAAAAAUAUGAAUACUAAUUAGCUCUUCGUAAACCUUAUGUCUGUCAAUUCAUGGUAAUGUCGAUUGAUAUACUCCUUAUUGUGGCUUUCAUAGGAGAAUGUGGGAGACAGUUUUUUUUACUUAGCCGUUGAUC